UUCCAGACUCCUACGGGAGGCAGCAGUGAGGAAUAUUGGUCAAUGGGCUUACGCCUGAACCAGCCAAGCCGCGUGAGGGAAGACGGCCCUAUGGGUUGUAAACCUCUUUUGUCGGAGAACAAAACCCGGGACGAGUCCCGGACUGCGUGUAUCCGAAGAAAAAGCAUCGGCUAACUCCGUGCCAGCAGCCGCGGUAAUACGGAGGAUGCGAGCGUUAUCCGGAUUUAUUGGGUUUAAAGGGUGCGUAGGCGGUCUUUUAAGUCAGCGGUAAAAUUGCGGGGCUCAACCCCGUCGAGCCGUUGAAACUGGCAGACUUGAGUUGGCGAGAAGUACGCGGAAUGCGCGGUGUAGCGGUGAAAUGCAUAGAUAUCGCGCAGAACUCCGAUUGCGAAGGCAGCGUACCGGCGCCACACUGACGCUGAGGCACGAAAGCGUGGGGAUCGAACAGGAUUAGAUACCCCCGUA
rnacentral:rRNA from 1 species